rnacentral:lncRNA from 1 species
CUAAUAGAAUCUUCGCUUCUGAAGACUGAAGUGAACAAGGAAAGUGCUUUAUACCAUGGCAGAGUUAUACACCACGCCGGGAGCCCUCCUACCUUUACUACAUGGGCUCAGUGUCCACGGAGAACUCCAAGCUCUGGAAAUGUCAGGAUUAGUCAAGAAGACAGUAAGAUCUCAAGUCACCACCAGCACCAAAUGAUAGAGUCAACAAUCCCAACUCCCUUUUCAGGCCCCUUAUCUAGAAAAGGGACUAUGCCCACAGUCCCACUGGGAAUUGCUUUCAGAGGAGCUGAUGAAAGCUGUGAAGGCACUGUUGCCCAACAGUGAGGGGAGUGGAAACAACUUGGCAGAACCUCUGGGAAGGCCCAUCAGGGCAUGAGAUCAGUGACCAGAGACGAGGACCACACUCCAGGGGUAGAGGCAGAACCACAUGUCAUGCCCUGCAGACUCCAGAGCUGCAUCUCCAAGACAGAGGGAGGCCUCCAGCAGACAAGAUGCGGAUGCGGGCCUUCUAAAACUCAGGAUCUUGCAUGAUUGUAAGCAGGAGUGGCUUAGAUGGAGUCAUUAAGGAGAAAACAGCAUUGGAUGUGCACACAGACCUGGCCCUGAAUCCUAUCUUGCCAUUC